rnacentral:lncRNA from 1 species
UGUCAAGCUGCUGUCACCUUACCUGAAGUAAGGAGUCCACGCCUGCAUGUCCGAGGAAAACAGUUUUCUCAAACACAUUAGUUGAAAAACUGAAGACGCUGCCUAAAAUACAAGCUGAGUUAGAGACAGCCCUUGUAAGACUAGAAAAAGAAAUGGAAACUAAGUAACAUGAAUUAACAUAGUCCAGGGUCACAAAGCAACAUGGAACAAGAACCUGGAUCUGAAUUCAGAGGCAGAAUGCUGGGCCUGAGAAUCAGGAGAGUCAAUGGUAUUAGUGCUUGUCCGGAAGCCAUCAUGCUUCAAAACCAAGAAGAGCUGAUUUUCCAGUUGGAGUCUAAAGGCUUUGGUAUCAGGAUGAUGCUGGCCUCAUCAAAUGAGUUAGGGAGGAUUCCCUCUUUUUCUAUUGAUUGGAAUAGUUUCAGAAGGAAUGGUACCAGCUCCUCCUUGUACCUCUGGUAGAAUUCGGCUGUGAAUCCAUCUGACCCUGG